GCCGCCCCCUGCCGGCGUGCUCAACACAUGCAAGUCGAACGGAAAGGCCCUUCUUUUGAGGGGUGCACGAGUGGCGAACGGGUGAGUAACACGUGAGUAACCUGCCCUUGACGUUGGGAUAACUUCAGGAACAUGGGGCUAAUCACGGAUAGGAGCUCCUGCUGCAUUGUGUGGGUUGGAAAGUUUCGGCGGUUGGGGAUGGACUGGCGGCUUAUCAGCUUGUUGGUGGGGUAGUGGCUUACCAAGGCUUUGACGGGAAGCCGGCCUGUGAGGGUGACCGGCCACAUUGGGCCUGAGAUACGGCCCAGACUCCUACGGGAGGCAACAGUGGAGAAUAUUGCACAAUGGGCGGAAGCCUGAUGCAGCAACGCCGCGUGCGGGAUGACGGCCUUCGGGUUGUAAACCGCUUUCGCCUGUGACGAAGCGUGAGUGACGGUAAUGGGUAAGAAGCACCGGCUAACUACGUG
rnacentral:rRNA from 1 species